rnacentral:rRNA from 1 species
UACGUAGGGGGCAAGCGUUGUCCGGAAUCAUUGGGAGUAAAGAGCGUGUAGGCGGCCAGAUAAGUCCGCUGUGAAAUCUCGAGGCUCAACUUCGAGCUGUCGGUGGAAACUGUCUGGCUAGAGUCCGGAAGAGGAGAAUGGAAUUCCUGGUGUAGCGGUGAAAUGCGCAGAUAUCAGGAGGAACACCAAUAGCGAAGGCAGCUCGCUGGGACGGUACUGACGCUGAGACGCGAAAGCGUGGGGAGCGAACAGG